UUAAAGGAGUCGGGUAGAGCCUUGGACCCGGUUCUCGCUGUGGGCGUGGGACCUUGGAGCAUCGGGCCGCCGGUCGAGCCCUCCCACCCGCGAGGCUGUCGGGAAGCAGCGGGGACGACCGAGUCCCUAAGAAAGACCGGAGAGGACGCGUCGGCCUCACGGCCCGGGGGAGGUGCCCGGGAACGUCGUGACUCCCCGGGCUAAAAGCCCAUAUACAGGGCGAAGGGGGAGGAGAUGAGUGGCUUUUAGGGGAGAGCAACGGGCCUUAGAAGACGGACGGGCGGGAGGACCGUGUGACACCGGCUAUGUUGUUCCUCCUGGUCCCUCGGGGGUCUCGGACGACUGAGUUCCUCUGGGAGGCUGUUUAGGCAAGAAGGGAAGUUCAGACAAGCCUCUCCCUGCAUUGACUGAUUUUCAGGGGCACACAGCUCAGAAUAGCCAAUGUACCGAAGUACACGUUUCCGGGUGGCACAGUCCUCUAGCCUUCAAACUCAAACAAGUUCAUCUCGGUAGUUUCCCAUCUGUUGGCUCCCUCUCCCUGCCCUGUGGCUAUAAUCACCCCCGUGCGUGUGUACUUGAGUCGUGUCUGAUGCUGCGACCCCAUGGACUGUAGCCGGCCAGGCUCCUCUGUCCAUGGGAUUCUCCAGGCAAGAACAGUGCAGUGGGUUGCCAUUUCCUCCUCCAAGGGAUCUUCCCGACCCAAGGAUCGAACCUGCGCCUCAACUUCUGCAUUGGCAGGCGAAGCAGAAGGUGCUGCAGGCUCCAGCGCCCACAUGUGUCAGAGGAAGCAGGGAUCUUCUGAAACCAUGCCUCUCCACCCCAUGCCCCACUGAUCUGCAGCUAGCACUCCCCAGGCACCCACGUGCUCCAGCCACCAGCUCGGGCCUGGCUGUGGCAGCCACCCCAGGGCGCUCACCCGCAUCACACUGUCCACGGUGAAGCCCGCACCCUCUGUGCCCAGGUCCCGCAGCAGUCGCGCCAGCAGUGCCAUCUGGCUCAUGGCCAGGUGAGUUGAGGAGUUGGCUUUCAGUGGCUGGACCAGGUCUGUGGCCACACCACCCAAACACCUUCUUAUUCUGGCAGCACCGUGGCUCUGCCUCUGGGCCCACGAGUGGCUGGAAACCAAUGGGAAGGAGGAGGAGGGAGGGGAGCCCCCGAGAGCAGCAGGGGGCUGCUGGGACACACAGAUGCCGCGCACACAGGGACCCACAUGGAGAAAACGGCGUGGGCCGUCGAAGCUGGUGCAGUAUGGGAACGCCUGCACGCAGAGGCCGCUCAGCAUCACUGCUGUCCCAGAGUUGAACGGGGCUUGAAAACAAUUAGGGGCACGUUCAAUGUAUCCUUUGAAAGAGUUCCCCCAAAUAAUACCACUCACUCAUUUUCCCUGAACGUUUUAGUUAGUUAAAUAAAACAAGAUCAGUGGUUCUUCCUGGUGGAGAAACUAUGGAAGUUUUGGCUUCCUUCCCUAGAAAGCCAGCCUGCUCAUGGCACUGGGUUCACAUUUGGAGGAGGUCACAGACACCCUGCACCUUAACCUGAGGUCUCCUGGCCCAGAAGGAUUCCUGACAAGAGGGCAAAGCACUCUCCUGUGCUGCCUGGCUCAGCGUGGGCCCCAGACUCCCAGCUGCUCACGUCUGCCUUGGCUCCCCCAGUGCCCAGGCGAGA